AGUGAACGCUGGCGGUAGGCCUAACACAUGCAAGUCGAACGGCAGCACAGUAAGAGCUUGCUCUUACGGGUGGCGAGUGGCGGACGGGUGAGGAAUACAUCGGAAUCUACUUUUUCGUGGGGGAUAACGUAGGGAAACUUACGCUAAUACCGCAUACGACCUACGGGUGAAAGCAGGGGAUCUUCGGACCUUGCGCGAUUGAAUGAGCCGAUGUCGGAUUAGCUAGUUGGCGGGGUAAAGGCCCACCAAGGCGACGAUCCGUAGCUGGUCUGAGAGGAUGAUCAGCCACACGGGAACUGAGACAUGGUCCAGACUGCUACGGGAGGCAGCGCUGGGGAAUAUUGGACAAGGGGCGCAAGACUGAUCCAGCCAUACCGCGUGGGUGAAGAAGGCCUUCGGGCUGUAAAGCCCUUUUGUUGGGAAAGAAAAGCAGCAGGUUAAUACCCCGCUGUUCUGACGGUACCCAAAGAAUAAGCACCGGCUAACUUCGUG
rnacentral:rRNA from 1 species